rnacentral:lncRNA from 1 species
ACCCCCACCAUCUACCGCCACAAUUCACAAUCCAAUCCACCACCACCACCGCCUCCACCAAUUCACAGAUCCACCAACACCACCAUACAUGCUCGACUAGCAUUGAGCAUCGAGCAUUCGUGCAUUGCUCAACACUGAAGUGUCAAGCAUCAACGUUGAACGAUAAUUCAAUUGGAAUGAUUGCUCGACACUCAAGUAUUGAGUGUCGAGCGUACUUGUCGAGAAUCGAGCAAGUUCAAUUUGAACUAUCACUCGACACUCGAGCGUCAAGCAUCGUGUGUCGAGCAUCGAGCACCGAACCUAAUUCAAAUUUGAGGCAAAGCAGAGGCGCAACGCGGAUGAGACGAGGCGAGAUAGAGGGAAGAGGUAACGAAUUUGGAGAGAUAGAGAAAGAGAGAGAGAGAGAGAGAGAAACAAACAAGGAG